UACGAGAGGUGCAAGCGUUGUCCGGAUUUAUUGGGCGUAAAGCGUUUCUAAAUGCUCUUUUGUAAGUUAUCUUUUAAAGACCGAAGCUCAACUUCGGGAAGGGAGAUAAUACUGCACGAGUCGAGAUAUUUCGGGGUUACUAGAACUAUUGGUGUAGGGGUGAAAUCCGUUGAUAUCAAUAGGAAUUCCAAGGGCGAAGGCAGGUAACUAGGAAUUUUCUGACGCUGAUGAACGAAAGCUAGGGGAGCGAAAGGG
rnacentral:rRNA from 1 species